CUGAAGUCAUACCUAGAUCGCUCCAGAGUCCAGACCAUACCUAGAUCAAUGGCGGCUUGCAGGAUAGACAACAAAAUCAAAAGAAGUUAGCCAACGCACAGUGACGCAAUUUGCCGCCGCGGAUGUAUCCUAGCGUUUUCUCGCGCGCGUACGCAUGCUGUCGCGGCCAUCUAUUCCGAUCCCCCAGGUUGCAGUCUCCAUAUGCAUGCUACUGCGGCUACUGCGGCUGUCGUAUUCUGAUCGUCUAGGGUAUCCUCAGAUAUGCUGCCGCCGCCCCAAGUUCUCCCAGACAUCAUGCAGUCAAAGUUGUGGUUUUCAAUCUCAUGCAUACAAUAUACACCAUGCAGGCAGUCAUAAUGGAUGGUUCGAUCAAUCCUACUAAGACUUGCUUCAGGCAAACACCGAACCGAACAGCCCAAAUGCCAGGUUUAGAAAUUUCCCAGCUCGCUCUCUCGGCAAUACAAAAUGAAAGGAGGCAUGGCGCUAGAGCGAUCGAUUGAAUUAAGAUCUACGUCAUGAACACACAGCCGGACAUCCCAAACCAAGCUCGCUACAGGCAGCUAAAAGGAGCGCAUAUAUAUCUACUGACAUGCAAGAGAUAUUAUUACGGCUGCUCGCUCGGCCGAAGACGUCGGUGAAGCCAAUGGAAAAAGCAAAUGGACAAAGGUUGGCUAACUGUAUUAAUUAGUUUGCCUCAAUGAUCUGUUUCUAUUAAUAAUUGCUUUGCUCUGGGUCCAACUGAUGGACGCUGAGGCGCCAGAUCGAGUCAUUGGUCAAGGAGCUACUGUAUUAAACUCAGUCGCCUGUGCUGUAGCUUCAUCCUACAAGCAUGAUUUACGAUGUUAGCCAUGGUGCCAUGUAUCAAGUUGUACUCCAUGGCGGAAGCUAUGACAUAUGAUGGCUCCGAUGAUCAAUAUGAAUGAAGAUAUUUAGAUGUCGCCCAUGAAUGGCCGACCUGGCUGCCCACAAUGACCAGGCUGCA